UGACCGGGACGGCCCGGUCAUUCUUUCGCCAGGGGACGGCCUC
rfam:Mycobacterium abscessus subsp. abscessus strain 57 genome assembly, contig: ERS244815SCcontig000003